AUGUAUAUAUACUGAUAUGUGUGUACGUGUAAAGGGCAUAGUUGUAUAUAUACAGUGCAUUAUAUGACCCUAAUAUGUACAUUUCUAUAUAUACAUUGAUGUAUAUGACCAUAUAUACACUUAUUAUCAGUUUAUACAGUUAGUAACUUAUAUGUACACUGUUUUAUAUACUACACACACUCACACUCACACUCACACUCACUCACACACAUACUCACAUUCACGCCCACGCCCAUGCCCACGCCCACUCCCACGCUCACGCUCACGCUCACACUCACACUCACACUCACAUUCACAUGCACACUCACACUCGCACUCACUCACAUACACUCACACUUACACACACUUACACACACACACACACUCACACUCACAUUCACACUCAGAUAUUUAUACUACACAUAUAUGCAUGUUGUGUAUGGACUAUUGUGUGUAUAUAUACGAUAUGUAUAUACUGAUAUGUUUAUGCGUGUAUGUAUACAGUUGCUUGUUAUCAGUUGUAUAUAAUUAUCAUUAUAUAUAUACUGAUAUGUGCACACUUAUGCAGCUUUACAACUUGAUAAGUGCAUAUAUAAUGUGUAUGCAUACACUUAUACAUGCAUUCUAUAUACAUUGAUAUAUAUGACCAUAUAGACAUAUAUUAACAGGUUAUCUAUAUAUAUAUAUACAGUGUGUAUAUAUACGAUAUGUAUAUAUUGAUAUGUUUAUGCAUGUAUGUAUAAACUUGCUAUCAGUUAUAUAUACACUGAUAUGCGUACGCACAUGCACCCUUACGCAUUGAUUGCGCAUAUAUACAUUUUUAUGUACGUAUAGACCAUAUAUACACUUUUUAACAGUUUCUAUUGUUAUUAGCGUAGAUGUACAUUGAUAUGUAUAUGAAUGCACAGGUGGCUGUUGCAGCCAAUAAGGUUGAACUUAUCCCUCCCUUUCUUUUUUGAUUAUUUUCCUCUCCAUUCUUUUCAUUCGAAUCAUUAUCUUCCAUGUGAAUGAUUUUUCCGUAUACAAUUUUCCAAACUGUGAUAAAUUCAAGCCUUCAAGGAGAUUAUUUCUUUUGGCUAUCUCCUCUAAUCAGAUAAGCCUUGGUGAAAUUUGAUAUUGCUUUGUAUAGAAUUAGGCAUAAAAAUGGGUUUCUUCUCUUGAUGAAUUGGGUAUGCUAAAUACCCAAUUGUGAUAGUGCAUCUAAAUUUUUUGUCUUAUUUGUACUUGUUUCUAUUAUUAUUGAUGAGCUUCAUCUUCAUCGAGUUUUCUUGUAAAGCAACAAGCAUGAAAGCAACUUAUCAUCGGGGUGGAUCUCUUUACGUUAUUCGAUAUUUGAGAUUUGAUCUUGCAAGCUGGAUUUGAUUAAUGGUUCUUUCUUCACUAGUAUAAUAUUUCUCUUGCUUCUUUCAUGCAAAAAUGAAGUGAAUUUUUUGAAACUUUACUUGUGGUUUGCAAUUUUUUAAGUAACUUUUUCUUAACACACACACACUCUUGCUUAACCCACACACACUCUUGCUUCUUUCAUGCAAAUAUGGAAUGAAUUUUUUGGAGUAUUACUUGUGGUUUUCAAUUUCAUUAAGUAACUUUUUCUUAACACACACACCACAUACACACACACAUUCUCACACACACACACACACUCAUACUCACACUCACACUCACACUCACACACACACACUCACACAUGCUCACGCUCACACACGCUCAUGCUCACACUCACACACUCACUGACACACACUUUCACACCCACACAGUCACACACAUUAACACACACUCACACUCACACUCACACUCACACUCCGAUAUAUAAUGCACUUAUAUGAGUGUUGUGUAUGGACUGAUGUGUGUGUAUAUAUGAUGAUAUGUUUUUGCAUGUAUGUAUAUAAUUGUUUGCUAUCAGUUAUAUACAAUUGUCAAUGUAUGUAUACACUGAUACGUGUAUGUACAUGCACCCUUACGUGUUGAUAAGUGCAUAUAUACUGUGUAUAUUUACACUAAUACAUGCAUGUUAUAUACUCUGAUAUAUAUAACCAUAUAGACACUUCUUAGCACUUUACAUAUAUAUACAAUGUGCAUAUUUACGACAUGUAUAUAUUGAUAUGUUUAUGCGUGUAUCUAUAAACUUCCUAUGAGUUAUAUGUAUAUUGAUAUCUGCAGGCACAUGCACCCUUACGUAUUGAUAAUGCAUAUACAUUUCUAUAUACACUGAUAUAUAUGCCCAUAUGGAUACUUCUUAUCAGUUUAUACAGUUAUUGGUGUUUAUGUACACUGAUAUGUAUAUACUCUCACACUCAUAUGCAUAUGUAUAAUGGGUUUAUAUAUGCACUAAUAUAUAAAGCCCAUGUAUAUACAUACGUAUUAUCUUUGAUAUAUAUACAUUUAUUAGCUCAAUUUGUGUAUGUAUUGAUGUAUAUCAAUAUAUACCAUUCUUUUCAGAGUAUAUAUAUAUAUUGCUGCAUAUAACCAUACAAUACAUUAGUUAUCAGCUAUAUAUGUAGUUAUUAGUGUGCAAAAUUACAUUGAUAUGUGUGUGUGAUGUCUGUAUAUAUACGAUGUGUAUAUACGGAUUUGUGUGAAUGUGUAAAGUGCAUAAAUGUAUAUAUACAGUGCAUUAAUAUAUACAUUUAUAUAUACACUGCAUUAAUAUAUAUAUAUAUACAUUGAUGUAUAUGACCAUAUAUAUUCAUUAUUAGUUUAUACCUUUAUUAACGUAUAUGUAUAUUAAUUUAUAUACUACACACACACGCACUCACACUCACACUCACUCUCAUCCUCACACUCACACUCACACUCACUCACUCAUACACACACACACUCAGACCCACACACUUACACUCGCACUCGCCCUCGCACUGACAUCGACAUCGACAUCGACACCGACACCGACACCGACACCGACACCGACACCGACACCGACACCGACACCGACACCGACACCGACACUCUCACUCUCACUCUCACUCUCACUCUCACUCUCACUCACACUGACAUGCACAUUCACACUCACACUCACUCACACUCACACUCACACUGACAAAUAUAUAUACUAUAACCUGUAAUUUGAUUAGCCUUGGCGAAAUUCCUUAUUACUUUGUAUAGAAUUAAGCAUAAGAAUGGGUUUCUUCUCUUGAUGAAUUGGGUAUGCUAAAUACCCUAUUGUGAUAGUCCAUGUAAAUUUUUUAUCUUAUUUGUACUUGUUUUUAUUAUUAUUGAUGAGCUUCAUCUUCAUUGAGUUUUCUUGUAAAUCAACAAGCAUGAAAGCAAUUUAUCAUCAAGGCGGAUCUCUUUACGUUAGUCGAUAUUUGAGAUCUUAAUCUUGCAAGCUUGAUUUGCUUAAUGGUUCUUUUUCUGUAGUAUAGCACUGCUCUUGCUUCUUUCAUGCAAAUAUGGAGUGAUAUAUUACUGCUUUUGCUUCUUUCACACUCACACUCACACUCACACUGACAGAUAUAUAUACUAUCACCUGUAAUUUGAUUAGCCUUGGCGCAAUUCCUUAUUACUUUGUGUAAAAUUAGGCAUAAGAAUGGGUUUCUUUUCUUGGUGAAUUGGGUAUGCUAAAUACCCUAUUGUGAUAGUCCAUGUAAAUUUUUUAUCUUAUUUGUACUUGUUUUCAUUAUUAUUGAUGAGCUUCAUCUUCAUUGGGUUUUCUUGUAAAUCAACAAGCAUGAAAGUAACUUAUCAUAGAGGUGGAUCUCUUGACGUUAUUCAAUAUUUGAGAUCUUGAUAUUGCAAGCUUGAUCGUCUUGAUGGUUCUUUCUUCUCUAUUAUAGUCUGCUUUUGCUUCUUUCAUGCAAAUAUGGAGUGAAAUUUCUGGAGCUUUACUUGUGGUUUGCAAUUUUAUUAACUUUUUCUUAACACACACUUUUGCUUCAUCCAUACAAAUAUGGAGUGAAUUUUAUGGAGCUUGACUUGUGGUUUGCAAUUUUAUUAACUUUUUCUUUUUACAUACACACCACACACAUACUCACACUCACACUCACACUCACACUCACACUCACACUCACACUCACACUCACACUCACACUAAUGUAUAAGACCAUGUAUAUACUUAUUAUCAGUGAUAUAUGCAGUUAUUAGCUCUAUAUGUUUACGUGUUGAUGUAUAUAAGCAUAGAAUACAUUAGUUAUCGGCUAUAUGUACAGUUACUAGUGUGUAAAAGUACAUUGAUAUGUGUGUGUGAUGUCUGUAUAUAUACGAAGUGUAUGUAUGGAUUUCUGUUUACGUGUAAAUAAUUGUAUUUAUACAAUGCAUUUAAUGUUUAUAUUUCUAUAUACAUUGAUGUAUAUGACUGUAUAUACAUUUAUUAUUAGUUUAUAAAUUUAUUAACGUAUAUGUACACUGUUUUAUAUAGUGUAAUCAAUUGUAUAUAUACAAUGCAUUUAAUGUUUAUAUUUCUAUAUACAUUGAUGUAUAUGACCAUAUAUACACUUAUUAUUAGUUUAUAAAUUUAUUAACGUAUAUGUACACUGAUUUAUAUACUACACACACUCUCACACUCACUCACACUCACACUCGCACAUUUGUUAUCAACUACAUAUAUAGUUAUUAGUGUGUAAAAAUAAUAUUGAUGUGUGUGUGCGAUGCUGUAUAGAUGCGAUGAGUCUAUAUUGAUACGUUUGUGUGUAUAGUGCAUAGUGUGUAAGUUGCAUAAUUGUAUAUAUACAUUUAUUAGUGUGUUAAAAUAUUUACAUUUCUAUAUACAUUGAUUUAUAUGACCAUAUAUAUACUUAUUAUCAGUUUAUACAGUUAGUAACCUAUAUGUUCACUGAUUUAUAUACUACACACAUAUAUAGACACAAACACACACACACACUCAACACUCACACUCACACGGACACUAACAUUGACAUUGACACUGACACAAACAGAUAUGUAUACUACACAUAUGCGUGGUGUGUAUGGACUGAUGUGUGUAUAUUUACGAUAUGUAUAUGCAUAUGUUUUUGCGUAUAUGUAUACAGUUGCUUGCUUUCAGUUAUAUACAAUUAUCGAUGUAUAUAUGCACUGUUAUGCGUACGCACAUGUACCCUAACGCGUGGAUAAGUGCAUAUAUGAUGUGUAUGUAUACACUAAUACAUGCAUUCUAUAUACACUGAUAUAUUUGACCAUAUUGACUAUUAUUAGUAGUUUAUAUGUAUAUACAGUGUGCGUUAAAUAUGUAUUUAUUGAUAUGUUUAUGUAUAUGUAUAACCUUGCUAUCAGUUAUAUAUGCACUAAUAUGCGACACACAUGGGCACCGAUGCACUAAUAUGCGACACACAUGGGCACCCUCACGCAUUGAUAGUGCAUACAUUCAUUUAUGUAUACACUGAUAUAUAUGACCAUAUAUAACACUUAUUAUCAGUUUAUACAGUUAUUAGUGUAUAUGUACAAUGAAAUGUAUAUACGCACAUUCAUAUGCAUAUGUAUAAAGGGUUUAUAUGUACAUUUAUGUAAAAGACCAUGUAUAUACUUAUUAUCAGUGAUAUAUACAGUUAUUCGCUCAAUUUGUGUACGAAUUGAUGUAUAGCAAUAUAGACCAUUGUUUUCAGUAUAUAUGUAUACAUACUGAUGCAUAUAACCAUACAAUACAUUAGUUCUCUGCUAUAUAUAUAGUUAUUAGUGUAUAAAAAAUACAUUGAUAUGUGUGUAUAUAUGCUUGUGUUGUUUGUAUCUAUACACUGUGUAUAUACUGAUAUGUGUAUGUUUAAAGUGCGUAACUGUAUAUAUACAGUACAUUAAUAUAUACAUUAGUAUAUAUGAUGAUAUAUACAGUAUUUAUCAGUUUAUACAGUUAUUAACAUAUAUGUAUACUACACACACACUCGCACUUACUCACCCACACACACACACUGGCACUUACACUCACACUCACACUCAGAUUUAUAUACUGCAGAUAUUUGCAUGUUAUAUAUGGACUGAUAUGUGUGUAUAUGCGAUAUGUAUAUACUAAUAUGUUUAUAAGAGUAUGUAUACAGUUGCUUGCUAUCAGUUAUAUACAAUUAUCAAGGUAUUUAUAAAUACUGAUAUGCGCACGUACAUACACGCUUACGUAUUGGUAGUGCAUACAUACAUUUAUAUAUACACUGAUAUCGAUGAUCAUAUAGACAUUUAUAUCAGUUUAUACAGUUAUUAGUGUAUAUAUACUGACCUCACACACACAUAUAAAUGUAUCUUUUACACGAUAAUAAUUGUAUAUAUAACUAAUAAUUAAUGUAGUGUAUGGUUAUAUGCAUCAGUAUAUAUAUAUUCACUUAAUACAAUGGUAUAUAUUUCUAUAAAUCAAUACGUAUACAAAUUAUGCUAAUAACUGUGCUAAGACCGUGUAUAAUAAGUGUAUACACGGUCUUAUACAUUAGUGUAUUUAGAAAUACUUUAUAAAUGUAGGUACAAAUUCGUAGGGGCGCAUGUGCAUGCACAUAUCAGUGUGUACAACUAAUAGCAAGUGUAUAUAUAUAUAUAUAUAUAUAUAUAUACAUAUAUAUAUAUAGAUAAACUGCUAAUAAGUGUCUUUAUGGUCAUAUAUAUCGGUGUAUAUAAAAUGUAUGUAUUAGUUACACAUACACUGUAUAUAUACACUUAUCAACACGUGAGGGUGUAUGCAUGUAUGCAUAUCAAUAUAUAUAUAUAUAUAUAAUAUUGUAUAUAAUUGAUAACAAGGAAUUAUAUAUAUACACGCAUAAACACAUCAUUAUAUACAUAUCGUAUAAAUGUACACAUCAGUCCCAACACCACAUAUAUAUGUGUAGUGUUAUGCACUGUAUAUAUGUAGUAUUUUAAUGAUCAUAUACAUUGACAAUUGCGUAAAACUGAUAGCAAGCAAGUGUAUAUAUACACGCAUAAACAUAUCGUAUGCAUUAAUCCAUACACAACAUGCAUGUCUGUCCGUGUUGUAUAUAAAUCCAUAUACAUAUAUGAUAUUAAUUAUAUAAACUGAUAAUCAGUGAUAUAUGCGCUGAUAUGUGCACACACAUGCACCCUUAUGCAUUGAUAAGUUCAUACAUACAUUUUUAUAUACACUGAUAUAUAUAACUUUAUACACAUUCGUUAUCAUUUUAUACAGUUAUUAACGUAUAUGUACAUUGAUAUAUAUAUAUACGCAUACUUAUAUGCAUAUAUAUAAAGUGUUUAUUUAUACACUAAUGUAUAAGCUCAUGACUUACUUAGUCUCUGUGAUAUAUAUAGUUAUUAGCACAAUUUGUAUACAUAUUGAUGUAUAGCAAUGUAUAUCAUUAUUUUCAGUGUAUGUACUGAUGCAUAUAACCAUUUUAUACAUUAAUAUUAGCUAUAUAUAUAAUUAUUGUGUAAAAAAUACAUUGAUGUGUAUGUGUAUGUGAUGUUUGUAUAUAUGUACGAUGUGUAUAUACUGAUACGUGUGUGUAAAGUGCAUAACUACAUAUAUAAAGUGCACUUAUAUAAACAUUUCUAUAUACAUUGAUGUAUAUAGCCAUAUAUACAUUUAUUAUCAAUUUAUACAGUUAUUAACGUAUAUGUUCAUUGAUUUACACACAAACACAUAUAAAUAUAUAAAUAUACUACUCAUAUAUACGUGUUGUGUAUGGAAUAAUGUGAGUAUAUAUAUGAUAAGUAUAUACUGAUAUGUUUUGCAUGUACGUAUACACUUGCUUGCAAUCUCUUAUAUACAUAUACUGAUACGCACGUACAUGCACCAUUACGUGUUGAUGUGUGUAUAUAUACACUGAUAUACGCACGUACAUGCACCAUUACGCAUUGAUGUGUGUAUAUAUAUAUCUCUCUAUAUAUAUAUAUAUAUAUUGUGUAUACAUUAAUACAUGCAUUCUAUAUACAUAAAUGGUCUUUUACAUUAGUGUAUGUAUAAACACUUUAUACAUAUCCAUAUAUACAUAUCAGUGUACUCAUACAUUUGAACUUAGCAAUGCAUAAGGGUUCAUUUGCCACAUAUCAACGUAUAUAUAACUGAUAGCAAAUGUAUAUAUACACACAAACAUAUCAGUACAUACAUGUCCUAUAUAUAUACACUAUAUAUAUACUGCUAAUAAGUAUCUAUAUGAUCAUAUAUAUCAGUGUAUAUAGAAUGUAUGCAUUGGUAUACUACAUGCACAAUAUAUAUGCACUUAACAACGCGUGAGGGUGCAUCUGUAUGCGUAUAUCCUGUGUAUAUAUACAUUAAUAACACACAUUUAUGUGUAGUAUAUAUAUAUGUUAUGUGUGUGUAUAAGCUGAUAGUAUGUGUAUGUAUGGUCAUAUACAUGAAUGUGUAUAUGAAUGUAUGUAAUUUGCUCUAUAUUUAUACAGUUAUGCACUUUAUACAUACACAUAUUUCAGUAUAUACACUUCAUGUAUAUAUACAAACAUCACUCACACAUAUCAAUGUAUUUUUUACACACUAACAAGUGUAUAUAUAGCUGAUAACUAAAGUAUUGUAUGGUUAUAUGCAUCAGAAUUUAUAUAUAUAUAUAAAUAUUCUUUGAAAACAAUAGUAUAUGUUUUUAUAAAUCAAUACAUAUACAAAUAGUUCUAAUAACUAUAUAUAUCACUGAUAAUAAGUAUAUUACAUGGUCUUAUACAUUAUUGUACAUAUAUACAUGUGCAUAUCAGUGUGCCUUCAUGUCAGUAGUGUAGAUAUACGCUAAUAACUGUAUGAACUGAUAAUAGGUGCUUAUAUGAUCGUAUAUAGCAUUUAGUGUAUAUUGAAAUGUAUUAUGCACUACCAAUGCAUAAGGGUGCAUAUGCAUGUGCAUAUCAAUGUAUAUAUAACAGAUAGCAGGUAUAUACAUACACACAUAAACAUAUCAGUAUAUACAUAUCUUAGAUAUUACACACUGUAUAUACUUAUAUAAACUGUUAAUAAGUGUCUUUAUGGUCAUAUAUAUCAGUAUAUAUAGACUGCAUGUAUUAGUGUGGACUUACACAAUUUAUAUGCACUUAUCAACGUGUAAGGGUGCAUGUGCGUGCGUAUAUCAAUGUAUAUGUACAUUAAUUAUUGUAUAUAACUGAUAGUAAGCAAUUGUAUGCAUACAUGCAUAAACAUAUCAGUAUAUUCAUAUCGUAAAUAUACAUACAAGAGUAAUAUACACAACACGCAUAUAUGUGUAGUUUAUAUAAAUAUAUAUAUGUAUGUGUAUGUGAGUGGGUGUGUUUAGUAUAUAAAUUAGUGUACAUAUACGCUAAUAACUGUAUAAAUUGAUAAUAAGUAUUUAUAUUAAUCAUAUACAUCAAUGUAUAGAAAUAUAUAUAUUAGUGCAUUGUGUAUAUGCAGUUAUGAACUUUACAUAUGCAUACAUCAAUAUAUAUAUAUCGUAUAUAUGCAGACAUCACAUACACAUAUCAUUGUAUUUUUUACACGUGUAUGUUUAGCUUAUAACUAAUUUAUUGUAUGGUUAUAUGUAUCAAUGUAUAUAUAUACAAUGAAAACAAUGGUAUGUAUUGCUAUUCAUCAAUAUGUACGUAAAUUAUUUUAAUAAUUGUAUAUCACUGAUAAUAAAUAUAUACAUAGUCUUAUAAAUUAGUGUAUUUAUAAACACAUUAUACAUAUGCUUAUGAGUGUGCGUAUAUACAUAUUAGUGUACAUAUACUGAUAAUAAGAGUCUAUAUGGUCAUAUAUAUCAGUUAUAUGGAAAUAUAUGUAUGAACUUAUCAAUGUAUAAGGGUGUAUGUGCGUGCGCAUAUCAGGAUAUAUAUAACUGAUGGCAAGUGUAUACAUAUACUCAUAAACAUAUCAGUAUAUACAUAUCAUAUAUAUAAACACUGUAUUAUAUGUAAAUUGUUGAUAAGUGUCUUUAUAGUCAUAUAUAUCAGUGUACAAGUGUACAUAGAAUGCAUGCAUUACUGUACAGAUACAUACAUACACAUUAUUUGCACACUUAUCAACGCAUAAGGGUUCAUUUACGUACGCAUAUGAGUGUAUAUAUAUACAUUUAUAAAUGUAUAUAACUGAUCGCAAGCAAGUGUAUACAUACAUGCAUAAAAUAUCGUAUAUAUACAUGUCAGUUCAUACACAACAUGCAUAUAUGUGUAAUAUGUAUAUAUAUAUAUGUGUAUAUGUAAAUAUGUGUACAUAUAUGCAAAAACCUGUAUAGACUGGUCAUAAGUGUAUUUAUAGUCGUAUACACUUGCUAUCAGUUAUAUAUGCGCACGCACAUGCACCUUUACGCAUUGGUAACUUUAUAUACACAUUUCUAUAUUUAGUGAUAUAUAUUUCCAAAUAGACACUUUUAUCAAUGUAUACAGUUAUUAACGUAUAUGUACAUUGAUAUGUAUAUACUACAUUCAUAUGCAUUUGUAUAAAGUGUUUAUAUAUACAUUAAUGUAUAAGACCAUGACUUAUUAUCAGUGAUAUAUAGAGUUGUUAGCACAUUUUGUGUACCUAUUGGUGUAUAGCAAUAUAUACCAUUGUUAUCAAUAUAUAUAUAUAUAUANNNNNNNNNNNNNNNNNNNNNNNNNNNNNNNNNNNNNNNNNNNNNNNNNNNNNNNNNNNNNNNNNNNNNNNNNNNNNNNNNNNNNNNNNNNNNNNNNNNNNNNNNNNNNNNNNNNNNNNNNNNNNNNNNNNNNNNNNNNNNNNNNNNNNNNNNNNNNNNNNNNNNNNNNNNNNNNNNNNNNNNNNNNNNNNNNNNNNNNNNNNNNNNNNNNNNNCAUACAUAUACAUAUAAUACACACACACACAUAGAUACACAUAUAUAUAUAUGUACUACACAGAUAUAUAUAUAUAUAUACUACACAUAUGCGUGUUGUAUAUGGACUGAUGUGUGUAUAUGUAUGAUAUGUUUGUUGUAAUAACUGUAUCAUUGAAAAUAAGUAUAGACAUAAUCUUAUAAUUUAGUGUUUAUAUAACACUUUAUACAAAUGCAUAUGACUGUGCGUUGAUAUGUACAUCUACGCUAAUAAUUGUAUAAAUAUGUACAUAUAUGUUAAUAACUGUAUAAACUUAUCUAGAAAUGUAUGUAUGAACUUAUCAUUGCGUAAGGAUGCACAUGCGUACGCAUAUCGACGUAUAUAUAACUGAUAGCAAGUGUAAACACACGUAUAAACAUCAUUAUACAUAAAUCAGUGUACAUAUACACAUUAAUAGCUGUAUAAACAUCAUUAGUGUAUCUAUAUAUGGUCAUAUAUGUCAAUGUAUAUAUAAAUGUAUAUAUUAGUGCAUUAUAGAGAUACAGUUCUGUACUUUACACACACACAUGAAUAUAUUUUUUAAACACUAAUAACUGUAUAUAUAGCGGAUAAAACGUGUCUAUAUGGUCGUAUUUAUCAAUCAGUUUAUAUAGAAAUGUACGUAUGCACUAUCAGUGCAUAAGGGUGCAUGUGUGUGUGCAUAUCAGUGUAUAUGUAACUGAUAGUAAGUUUAUACGUACACACAUAAACAUAUCAGUAUAUAUGUAUCUUAUAUAUAUAUGCUAUAUAUAUCUAUAUAAACUACUAAUAAAUGUCUUUAUGGUCAUAUAUAUUAAUGUAGAUAGAAUGCAUGUAUUAGUGUACACAUACAAGACAUUAGUUAUCUGCUAUAUAUAGAGGGUUAUUAGUGUGUAAAAAAUACAUUGAUGUGUGUGUGAUGUCUGUUUAUAUACGAUGUGUAUAUACUGAUAUGUAUGUAUAAAGUGCAUAAUUGUCUAUAUACAGUGCACUAAUAUAUACAUUUUUAUGGAUAUUUAUGUAUAUGGCUAUAUAUACACUUACUAUCAUUUUAUACAGUUAUUAACGUAUAUGUACACUGAUUUAUAUACUACUCACACAUAUUCAGACUCAAACUCACACACACACACACAUACACGCUCACUCACACACACACACACUCUCACUCUCACUCACUCACUCACGCACACACACUCACACGCACACUCGCACUCGUAGUCGCACUCACACUCACACUCACACUCACAGAUAUAUAUACUACACAUAUAUGCGUAUUGUGUAUGGAUUGAUGUGUGCAUAUAUACGAUAUGUAUAUAUUGAUAUGUUUGUGCUUGUAUGUAUACUUUUGCUUGCAGUUUUUGUAUAAACUGGUAUAUGUACACUGAUAUUUAUAUAUGCACACUCAUAUGUACGUGUAUAAAGGGUUUAUAUAUACACUAAUGUAUAAGACCAUGUAUUAUUAUUAUCAGUGAUAUGUACAAUUAUUAGAACAAUUUGUGUACGUAUGGAUGUAUAGCAAUAUAUAUCAUUAUUUUUAGUGUAUAUACAGCUAUUUAUGUGUAAAAAAUACAUUGAUAUGUGUGUGUGUGAUGUUUGUAUAUAUUCGAUGUGUGUAUACUGAUAUGUGUAUGUGUAAAGUGCAUAACUGUAUCUAUACAAUGCGCUAAAAUAUAUAUUUCUGUAUAUAUUGAUGUAUCAGUUCAUACAGUUAUUAACGUAUAUGUACAUUAAUUUAUAUACUACACACAUACUCACUCACACUUACACUCACACUCACCACUCACACUCAUACACACACACAUACACACACACUCACACUCACACUCACACUUACACUCGUACGCACUCACAGAUAUAUAUACUACACAUGUUUACGUGUUGUGUAUGGACUGUAUGUGCAUAUAUACAAUGUGUUUAUACUGAUAUGUUUAUGCGAGUAUAUAUACAAUUGCUUGCUAUCAGUUUUAUACAAUUAUCAAUGUAUAUAUACACAAAUAUGCACAUGCACAUGCACCGUUAUGCGUUGAUAAGUGCAUAUAUAUUGUGUAUGUGUAUAUUAAUACAUGCAUUCUAUAUAUAUUAUUAAUAGUUUAUAUAUAUAUAUAUAUAUAUAUGCAGUGUGUCUAUAUAAGAUAUGCAUGUACUUAUAUGUUUAUUAUGUAUACACUUGCUAUCUAUAAACACUGAUAUGUGCAUGCACAUGCACCUUUACGCAUUGAUAUUGCGUACAUACAUUCUAUAUAUAUUGAUAUAUAUUACUAUAUAGACACUUAUUAUCAGUCUAUAUAGUUAUUAGCGAAUAUUAUCAGUUUAUACAGUUUAUGCCUUUAUUGGCGUAUACGUACACUGAUUUUUAUACUACACACAUGCACGCACUCACACUCACGCUCACGCUCACACUCACGCUCUUGCUCACGCUCACGCUCACGCUCACGCUCACGCUCACGCUCACACUCACACACACACACAUUCGCACUCACACAUACACUCACACUCACACUCAUUCACAAUCACACUGACACUCACAAGUAUAUGUACUAUCACCUUUAAUCUGAUAUGCCUCGCGAAAUUCCAUAUUACUUUGUAUAAAAUUAGGCAUAAGAAUGGGUUUCUUCUCUUGAUGAAUUGGGUAGGCUAAAUACCCAAUUGUGAUAAUCCAUGUUAAUUUUUUAUCUUAUUUGUGCUAUUUUUUAUUAUUAUUGUUGAGAUUCAUCUUCAUCUAGUUUUCUUGUUAAUCAACAAGCCUGAAAGCAACUAUUAUCUAGGCGGAUCUCCUUUCGUCAUUCGAUAUUUGAGAUCUUGAUCUUGCUAGCUUGAUUUGCUUAAUGGUUCUUUCUUCUCUAGUGUAGUACUGCUCUUGCUUCUUUCAUGCAAAUAAGGAGUUUUUUUUUUUAUGAGCUUUACUUGUAGUUUGCAAUUUUAUUAUAUAAUUUUUUCUUAACACACACACUCUUGCUUCUUUCAUGCAAAUUUGGAUUGAAUUUUCUGAAUCUUUACUUGUGGCUUACAAUUUUAUUAUGUAUAAAAAUGGCCAUAUAUACAUUUAUUUUCAAUUUAUACAUGUACUAACGUAUAUGUACACUGAUCUAUAUACAUUGAUGUAAAUGGCCAUAUAUACACUUAUUUUCAAUUUAUACAUGUAUUAACGUAUAUGUACAUUGAUCUAUAUACAUUGAUGUAAAUGACUAUAUAAACACUUAUUUUCACUUUAUACAUGUAUUAACGUAUAUGUACACUAAUUUAUAUACUACACACACACUUACACUCACACUCACAAUCACAAACAUAAACACAAACACAGUCACAAACAAAUACACUAAUAUGCUCUCGUACAUGCACCUUUACGCUUUGAUAGCGCAUAUAGACACUUUUUCUCAGUUUUUACAGUUAUUAGCGUAUAUGUACAUCGAUAUGUAUAUGAAUGCACAGGUGGCUGUUGCAGCCAGAAAGGUGAAUUAACCUAUCCCCCUUGCUAAUUUUUUAUUAUUUUCCUCUCAAUUCUUUCUAUUCGAAUCAUUAUCUUCCCUUUGAAUGACUUUUCCUUGCAUAUACAAUUUUUCAAAUUGUGAUAAAAUUGGGCAUUAAAGCUGGAGAUUAUUUCAUCUAGCCAGUAUUUCAAAAAGCGCUAGGUGGUUCCUAGGCUGCCUGGGGAGUCCAGGACGCCCAGCGCCUAGGAGGGGGCGCCCAGAACCUAGGCGGCCCAGUCAAAUCCAACAAGGAUGCCCAGUCAAAGAUGCUUUUAAGGACUCAAAACUUAAAUCUAAUAUCAAUGGGUGAUGUUUUGAUCAAUUUUUGUCAACUUAAAAAAAUAAGAAAUUUCCACCUCUGGACGGGCACCCGCUUAGGUGGGUUCCAUAUCGCCUAAGUGGGGAGCAGGCCUUGGGCUGAGCGUUGGGUGCCUGCCUAGGCGCUAAGCGGUCCGCUUUUUGAAUCACUGCUUCUGGCUAUCACCUAUAAUCAGAUAUGCUGAGGCGUAAUUCCAUACUACUAUGUGUAGAAUUAGGCAUAAGAAUAGUUUCUUCUCUUGAUGAGUUGGGUAUGCUAAAUACCCAAUUGUGAUAAUCCAUCUAAUUUUUUUUAUCUUAUUUGUGCUUGUUCUUAUUAUUAUUGAUGAGCUUCAUCUUCAUCGAGUUUGCUUGUAAUCAACAAGCAUGAAAGAAACUUAUCAUCGACACGGAUCUCUUUACCUUGUAGAUACUUAUUAGUAGUUUAUAUAUAAUAUAUACAGUAUGUAUAUAUACGAUAUGUAUAUAUUGAUAUGUUUAUGCGUGUAUAUAUAAACUUGCUAGCAGUUAUAUGUACACUGAUAUAUGCAUGCAGAUACACCUUUUCGCGUUGAUAGUUUACAGAUAUAUUUCUAUUUACAUUGAUAUAUAUGACCAUAUAGACACGUAUUAUCACUUUAUGCAGUUAGUAGCGUAUAUGUACACUGAUAUGUCAUAUGUCUAUAUAUAAAUAGGUUAGAUAUACACUAAUGUAUAAGACCAUUUAUUAUAUGGUCCGUGAUGCAUGACUCUAAAAUGCCUAUAACUAGGUCCACAACAUAUGACCUAAAGCAUCAUCACAUACUUCAUGUAUGACUAUAAACUACAGUGCUCCUUAGAGUCUUAUGACUCCAAGUAUUGUCCACCGUACGCAUUUUAAGGAUGUGGAAGGGUUUCAUAUAGUCCUUCCUGUAUGACUAUAAACGACAGUACUCCUUAGAGUCUUAUGACCAAGCAUUAGCUACCCAUACCUUUUAUAUGGGUGUGGAAGGCUUUUAUAUACAGUCCUUUCUAUAUCCCUAUAAACUAUAGAAAAUCUUAGUGUCUUACGACACCAAGCAUCGACUUACUCUUUUGUCGUAGGGAAGGCUUCAACACAACUCUCUCCCUAUUCCUUUCCAGAGCACUAAUUGGGGUGUAUUUUUUUUAAAUAUGAGGACGCUGCGAAAAUACCUUUGAAUUUCAUAGGGCAAUGGACGCUACCAAACCAAGAGAUAGGAUGCUUGAAAAAAAACUAUAUAUGUGUAUUUGCGAUGUCGAAGGAAAGAAAAGCAUAAGCAAGUUUAUACAUGCCACCAAGAGUUAAAAUAUAUACACAAAACCACAAAGCCGUUUGUCUUCUCAAAAGAAAAAGAAAAUAAAAAGUAGAGGAAAAGUGCAUCAAGCACCCUUAAAGCACCUAUGCCAGCACCUUUUCCUCCAUUUGCUUUCUAGAAGUCCCAUGGUUUUCCUUUGCUUCGUUAAGACUAUUUAAGGAUUCCUUGAAAUUUUUGGCGACAUUAUUCGCACGCUGCACAACUGUGAGUCAUUAAGAUUAACCAUGUAAGCCUCCUGGUCAUGGAGCUCCCUCUUCUGAGCCUCAAGAAAGGUUUUUGCCCAUGCAAUAUUCUCCAACAUAAUCUGUUGGUGAACCUGCGCCGUUACAGAUUGAGCCUUAAGUUCUUCAACCCUAGCUUUAACUACUUAAAAGUCUUAAUCAGCUUCUAGGAUAUCACAUCGAUGAUUUUCAACUGCCACUUCCCCUGAGGAGAUGACGUCAGGGAACACAGUAACCAAAGCCUCUUGAGCGAAAGCAACUUCCUUAGGCAUCUUGAACAAUCUUGUUCAUCGGUCACGAAUACUCGAACAAUUCUCGAAUACUUCAUCGUGAAUUGAACCAAGGCCUCUGGAAAAGCAGGGACAAUGACCAAAUCCGUUUCAGGGUUAAUGGCCUGCACCUCAGGAACAUUGACCUCGACCAAUGGAGGAGGAACAACAUCAGUCUCAUUGGAAUCGGGAGCAUUGGCUGUAGAAAUGUUGGCCUCGGCUAUUAAAAGAGGUUGGGCAUUGACUUCACUUGGCUCAGUAGAGGGAGGAGUAGCAACCAAGACUUCUGCUUCAGUGAUAAGAAUCUCAGCAGAAAUAGUAGAUGGUGUCUCGACACCAAUGCUGGUAAGCAUGGGCUCAGGAGUAUCCUCCGGGGGAAUGAACAAAGAAGUCCUUGUAGAAAGCCUAAAAGUUAGAAAUGAAAAUAGUCAUGUAAAGAAGUAUUGCAGCACGAUGGUUCAAUCAAAUACCUGAGGAGCUGGCUUCGUCCAUGCGAAGUAUAUAAAUUGGGAAUGGCAGACUUACAUAAGAAGGAGAGCUCAGGUUGUGGAGGUUGGAUGAAAGCAAAAUAUUUGUUAUUGCCACAAUACUGACAGACACGUCAACCUGAGACAAGCCUUCUCUAUAACGCUGGGGAGAAACACCACUAUUAGACAUCAUGAUCAUAAGGCAUGGGGAUAUCCUCAACCAUAUGGGCCAUUCCUAUGAUUAUUGCCACAAUACUGACAGACACUUCCACCUGAGACAAGCCUUCUCUAUAACGCUGGGGAGAAACACCACUAUUAGACAUCAUGAUCAUACGGCAUAGGGAUAUCCCCAACCAUAGGGGCCAUUCCUUUGAUUUUCCUUAACUACUCCUUAGUGGGAGGCUCGAUCUUUGUAAUACCCAUGUGGCUCUCACUUGGGGCAUGGCUGAAAGAAGAACCUUCAUCAUGCUUGGGCAAGCCAGGAAUACCUUUUAGCGCAUCUGUUAUUUCUUCGUCACUAUCAAAAGAAGUUGCUUGCUUGGUUCAUCAAAGACAAAGAAAAUCCGUCUCCUUGUGGUUCUGUCCCAUGAACUGGAGAAGAUGGUGCCAUAGGAGAUGGAGAAUGGGUGUCCAGCUCAAUCGUCUCAAUCCUCUUCUUCUUAGCUAUGCUUUUUUAGCAUAGGAAAGGAGAAGGACUCAACUUCUUUGGUGGUAUAUCCUUCUUACUCCUCUUCGGAGGAAUGGACAUUGGAUCACUGACUGCAUGAACAUGAGCCUUUGAGAUGUUCGUUAAUUGAGAGCUCCGUGUUCUACCCUCAGAAACCAAUUUGGUAGCUAGUUCUUUGAGAGAUGACUCUGAAGGCGAGAUGCUACUUAAUUUCUUUUUCCCUUACCCUUUGGAUCGGCUUCAUGAUGUUCCGAUUUGAUACCUGGAGCAUUUGAUUCCUUGUAAGGAACCUUUGAAGCUGAAGGACUUUGAGCCUUCCUUUACCUUUAGCCGGUGGCUCAGUCUCUGGAUGUGCAGAACUUAUGGCUAGGUUCUUCGGCUCUCUUUCUUAAAGGAGACGGAGUCCUAGCUUUUCUUUUAACUUUGGAUUUUCCUUUGGGAGUAGAAACUUUAGGAUGUUUAAUGGAUUUGGCAUGCCUGGGGUCAAGCACCGUUUUGUUGUUUCAAACGAGAGGGUGUGAAAUCUCUCUUUGAACCCCUAGCUAGUUGGCAAACAAUUUGGCUAAGUGAUGAUAGAAGGAAUCCCUGCCUUCAUCCAUUUGUUCCACUAUGGUGUUCCAGUCAAAAGGAAAACUCAUUCCACUGUCCAGUAGCUUGAGCCAUCAGCGAUGUGACUCUUAAAAUUGGUUACUAUCUUCCCAUCAAGCCGAAACAUGGGCAUGUUCUGCACCGAUUGAACAUAAUGGCCUCUUUGUGACCCGUGGUACCAAUAUUUUCCAUAAUGGGGAACAAUGAACUUGCACACAUGGUUAAUCGUGGUGCAAGAAUCCCACACAGUCUUCACACUAUUCUAGUGCCAAUUUCCUUGUAAAUGAUAAGGGACAGUGCUAGUUCAUCCUCUGCUGCCAUAUGCAUUGGUGAGGACUGUAUAAUUCGAUCAUCUUCUUGAUGCCAACUCGGUGGGAGUGUGGCACCAUGAACACUUUGGAGAUACAUUAUCUCCCGAUUGCUGGUUGGGUCAUUGUCAACCUGAAAUCCAUACUCGUCUUUGAAAAGACGGUCAGUUGGGCCCCCAAUGGGAAAGGGCUUGCCCUGAAAAAAAGUUUCACCUUGGAAAAGCUUCCUCGCAUUAUUAUCGGAUUGGAAAACAACCUUGUGUCCCAACAAGUGCAGCAAAAAUUGGAAGGUACUGCAAUCGAUGUCGCUUGCUAGAUGAUAGGUGCUUGGAAGUAGGCACCCAGCCACCUAUAAACAUAAUGGAGAGCGAAAAACCAUGCAGGAAUGUCCCAAACUCUUUGAAGUGUUAGUCGCCACAUUGAGCCCAUUAUAGAUACUGCAUAAGACGGGUUGGGCUUAUGGCCUCGGCCAAAUCACAAGCCAUAUAAAGGUACUCGGUCUUAAUUUCAUGACCCAAUAUAGGACGUCAAGUAGAUGGUAUCAAUCAGGUCAGUGGGACGGGGAGGCAUCUCUACCUUAAGGACUGGGGGCUUGUUACUUGAAGUUAAAAUAGGGUUGCCUGGUUCCCCUAUAGCCCUGUCUGAAUCGAAGAAAUGGGUGAUCCACACUUGGAAGCUAACUUUAGGGCCUCCUUAAAGAGAUGCCAGCUUCCGAAACUCCUUGAAUGGCCUUCUCAAGGCUGUUGGCUUUCGAAGGCCGGGAUAAACUUUAUCCUCAAGUAUGAUGUCAUUAUCUAGGUUAAACUCCUCAUAACGAUCUCCAAGAAGGGAAAGAUCGUCAAUGAAAUGAAGAUCCAAGAGAGACAUGACGGCCUCCCCAUGGUCAAAGAAGUUGGUUUUUUUUGCGCAACACCAGGUCUCCAAGUAUGCCCUCACCACGUUAGUGUAACGAUCAUAUGUCUAGGUCAAACAUUCGCAGGCGCCUAAGAGUUCUGUGCUUAUGAGAUCAUUUUAGAAGCUGCUCUCUCCCUCACAUCUAAACUUUAGGGAUCCUGUCGGACAGUACGCUUGGCAAUUUGAUGUGCAAGUAUAGGAAAUAUUCUAUUUCCAACGACAAUUUUAUGCGCAUAAUGGAGAAGGAGGCUUUAUGGAGGAAGACCCCGAUGAUAAUCCUUGCUAAACUUGCCAAGGCCAAGAGGCUCGAUCAAAUAAUUGAUGGAAAGGGGCCAUCUUAGAUAUUCAUUGACAUUGCCGUCAGCUUGGCAUACGGGUCUAUGACGAGCUAAUUCAACCCCGGUGCACUUUUCUCACCAAUCCUCUACGCCUUCAGGAAUUUCUUGGGACACAUGACAACUAAAAUAGGAGAAAAGAGUUUCAUUUAAUCGGAAAUUAUCUGCAUAUCCUUCAUAUUGGUCUAAGGCUCUAAUCAACUACCGAUGCCUGUCAUGGCUUAAGUCGAAAGUCUGACCUUAUAUUUCUCAUAUAUUGGGUUAAGACUUUGACCGAUCAUUGAUGUUUGUCACAGUGACACUCACACACACACACACACGCUCACACACAUAUACUCACACUCACAUUCACACGCACACACACUCACACUCACACUCACACUCACACUCACACUCACAGAUACAUAAACUAUCACCUCUAUCUGACAAGUCUAGACAAAAUUCCAUAUUACUAUGUAUAGAAUUAGGCACAAGAUUGUGUUUCUUCUCUUGAUGAGUUUGGGUAUGCUGAAUACCCAACUGUGAUAGUCCAUGUAAUUUUUUUUCUUAUUUGUACUUGUUUUUAUUAAUAUUGAUGAGCUUCAUUUUCAUCGAGUUUUCUUGUAAAUCAACAAGCAUGAAAGCAACUUAUCAUCGAGCCGGAUCUCUUUACGUUAUUUGAUAUUUGAGAUCUUGAUCUUGCAAGCUUGAUUUGCUUAAUGGUUCUUUCUUCUCUAGUUUAUUUCUGCUUGUAGUUUGCAAUUUUAUUAAGUAACUUUUUCUUAACACACACACUCUCGCUUCUUUCAUGCAAAUAUAGAGUGAAUUUUCUGGGGCUUUACUUGUGAUUUUCUGUUUUAUUAAGUAACUUUUUCUUAACACACACACUCUUGCUUCUUUCAUGCAAAUAUGGAGUGAAUUUUCUGGAGCUUUACUUGUGGUUUGCAAUUUUAUUAUGCAACUUUUUCUUAACACACACACACACACUUGCACACCAAACACACACUCACACUCAUACUCACACUCACGCUAAUGCAUAAGGAUGGGUUUAUAUAUACACUAAUGUAUAAGACCAUGUAUAUACUUUUUAUCAAUGAUAUAUACAAUUAUUAGCUCAAUUUGUGUACGUAUUUAUGUAUAGCAAUAUAUACCACCGUUUUCCGAGUGUAUAUAUAUAUACUGAUGCAUAUAACCAUACAAUACAUUAGUUAUCCGCUAUUUAUACAAUUAGUGUGUAAAACUACAUUUAUAUGUGUGUGUGUGUGAUGUUUAUACGAUGUGUAUAUACGGAUUUGUGUAUAUGUAAAGUACAUAAUUGUAUAUAUAUGGUGCAUUAAUAUAUACAUUUCUAUAUAUAUUGAUGUAUAUGACUAUAUAUACACUUAUUAUCGGUUUUUACAUUUAUUAACGCAUAUGUACAUUGAUUUAUAUACUACACACACACACAUGCACUCACACUCAUGCAUUCACACUCACACUCCCACUCACACUCACACUCACACUCUCACUCACACUCACACACUCAUACUCACACUCACACUCACACUCACACUCACAUACUCACAUCACACUCACACUCACACUCACACGCACAUAUACGCACACACACACACACACUCGCACUCACACUCACACUCACACUCACACUCACACUCACACUCACUCACACUAACACUCACGGUUAUAUAUAGUAUCACCUCUAAUCUGAUAAGCUUAUGCAAAAUUCCAUUAUUCUUUGUGUAGAAUUAGACAUAAGAAUGGGUAUGCUAAAUUCCCAAUUGUGAUAGUCGAUGUUAAUUUUUUUUCUUAUGUGUACUUGUUCUUUUUAAUAUUGAUGAGCUUCAUCUUCAUUGAGUUUUCUUGUAGAUCAACAAGCAUGAAAGCGACUUACGCAGAUCUGUUUACGUUAUUCGAUAUUUGAGAUCUUGAUCUAGCAAGCUUGAUUUUCUGAAUAGUUCUUUCUUUUCUAGUAUAGUGCUGCUUUCUUCUUUCAUGCAAAUACAGAGUGAAUUUUUUGGUGCUUUACUUGUGGUUUGCAAUUUUAUUAAGUAACUUUUUCUUAACACACAACUCUCUUCUUUUAUAACUUUUUCUAAACACACACACACACACACCACACACACACACACCACACACACACACUCACACUCACACUCGCACUAAUGUAUAAGUAUGGGUUUGUAUAUACACUACUGUAUAAGACCCUGUAUAUAUACCUAUUAUCAGUGAUAUAUACAAUUUCUUUUCUUGAUGAAUUGGGUAUGCUAAAUUCCCAAUUGUGAUAGUCAAUGUUAAUUUUUUUUCUUAUGUGUACUUGUUCUUAUUAAUAUUGAUGAGCUUCAUCUUCAUCAAGUUUUCUUGUAAAUUAACAAGCAUGAAAGCAACUUAUCAUCGAGGCGGAUCUCUUUACGUUAUUCGAUAUUUUAGAUCUUGAUCUUGAUCUUGCAUGGUUGAUUUCCUUAAUGAUUAUUUCUUCUCUAGUAUGGUAUUGCUCUUUCUUCUUUCAUGCAAAUACGGAAUGAAUUUUAUAGAGCUUUAUUUGUGGUUUGCAAUUUUAUUAAGUAAUGUUUUUUUAACACACAUAAUCUCUUGCUUCUUUCAUUCAACUAUGGAGUGAAUUUUUUGGAGCUUUACUUGUGGUUUACAAUUUUAUUUACUUUUUCUUAAGACACGCAGCCCGCACUCACACUCACACUCACACUCACACUCACACUCACACUCACACUCCCACUAAUGUAUAAGAAUGGGUUUGUAUAUACGCUUCUGUAUAAGACCAUGUAUAUACAUAUUAUCAAUGAUAUCUACAGUUAUUAGCUCAAUUUGUGUAUGUAUUGAUGUAUAGCAGUACAUACCAUUGUUUUCAGAGUAUAUAUAUAUACUGAUGCAUAUAACCAUACAAUACAUUAGUUAUUAGCUAUAUAUACCGUUACUAGUGUGUAAAAAUACAUUGAUACUGUGUGUGUGUGUGAUGUCUGUAUAUAUACGAUGUGUAUACACGUAUUUGUGUGUCUGUGUAAAGUGUAUAACAGUAAAUUUUUAGUGCAUUACUAUAUACAUUUCUAUAUACAUUGAUGUAUACACUUAUUAUUAGUUUAUACAUUUAUUAAUGUAUAAUGUACACUGAUUUACACACACACACAUGCAUUCAUACUCACACUCACGCUCACACUCACACUUACACUCGCACUCACACACACUCACACUCACACUCACACUCACACUUACACUCACACUCACACUCAUACACACAUACACACACUCACAUUCACACUGAUAUCGUACACACAUGCACCUUUACGCAUUAAUAGUGCAUACAUACAUUUCUAUAUACACUGAUAUGUAGGACCAUAUAGAUACUUAUUAUCAGUUUAUACAGUUAUUAGUGUAUAUGUACAUUGAAAUGUACGUACAUACACUCAUAUACGUAUGUAUAAAGGGUUUAUAUUUACACUAAUGUAUUAGACCAUGUGUAUACUUAUUAUCAGUGAUAUAUACAGUUAUUAGCUCAAUUUGUAUAUAUAUUGCUGUAUAGCAAUAUAUACCAUUGUUUUCGGAGUAUAUAUAUACUGAUGUAUAUAACUAUAUAAUACAUUACUUAUUUGCUAUAUAUACAAAUUCUAGGGUGUAAAAAUACAUUGAUAUGUGUGUGUGUGUGUGAUGUCUAUAUCUAUACGAUGUGUAUAUACGGAUUUCUGUGUAUGUGUAAAGUGCAUUACUGUAUAUAUAGAAUGCAUUAAUAUAUACAUUUCUAUAUGCAUUGAUGUAUAUGACCAUCUAUAUACUUAUUAUCAGUUUAUACCUUUAUUAACGUAUAUGUACUCUGAUUUAUAUAUUACACACAUACACACGCUCUCAUACUCACACUCACACUCACACUCGCACUCACACACACUCACACUCGCACUCACACACACUCACACUCGCAUUCGCACUCACACUCACACUCACACUCCUCGCACUCACACUCACACUCAUGCUCACGCUCACACUCACACUCAUACUCACGCUCACGCUCACACUCACACUCACACUCACACUCAUGCAUAAUCACAAUGACACUCAUAAAUAUAUAUACUAUCAUCUCUAAUCUGAUAUGCCUCGACGAAAUUCCAUAUUAUUUUGUAUAGAAUUAAGCAUAUGAAUGGGGUUUUUCUCUUGAUGAAUUGGGUAUGCUAAAUACGCAAUUGUGAUAAUUCAUGUUAAUUUUUAAUCUUAUUUGUACUUGUUGUUAUUAUUAUUGAUGAGCUUCAUCUUCAUCGAGUUUUCUUGUAAAUCCACAAGCCUGAUGCAUCUUAUCAUCAAGGCGGAUCUCCUUACGUUAUUCGAUAUUUGAUAUGUUCAUCUUGCUAGCUUGAUUUGCUUAAUGGUUCUUUCUUCUCUAGUAUAGUACUGCUCUUGCUUCUUUCUUGCAAAUAUGGGGUGAAUGUUCUGAUGGUUUACUUGUGGUUUGCAAUUUUAUUACGUAACUUUUUCUUAACACACACACAUAUGCACACCAAAUACACACACAUAUCCUCACACUCACAUUAGGGUAUUUGACCAUGCAUGUACUAAUUGUCAGCGAUAUAUACCGUUAUUAGCUCAAUUUGCGUAUGUAUUGAUGUAUAACAAUAUAUACCAUUGUUUUCAGAGUGUAUAUAUAUAUACU
rnacentral:lncRNA from 1 species